rnacentral:rRNA from 1 species
UACGAAGGGGGCUAGCGUUGCUCGGAAUUACUGGGCGUAAAGGGCGCGUAGGCGGCACUGUUAGUCAGGCGUGAAAGUCCUGGGCUCAACCUGGGAACUGCGCUUGAUACGGCAGAGCUAGAGGAUGGAAGAGGGUCGCGGAAUUCCCAGUGUAGAGGUGAAAUGCGUAGAUAUCUGGAGGAAUACCGGUGGCGAAGGCGGCAUCCUGGACCGGCAUUGACGCUGAGGAGCGAAAGCUAGGGGAGCAAACGGG